rnacentral:rRNA from 1 species
GAUUUGUUGUAUUACGUUAAUUGAAUUUGAGUAAUUAUUUGUGGGUAAAAUAGUUUGGUGUUAGUGUAUAUUUUGUGGAUAAAAUUUAUUUUGUUAUAGUGUAUUUGUACUGUGAGGGGCGUAUAAUUUGUGUGUAAUUGUGGGAAGUUGAAUUUGUUUGUUGUACCUUGUGUCUCAGGGUUUGUCAAUAAGGUGGGAUGUAUUAUUUUUAUUCUCGAUUUUGAGAGAGUUAAUGGAAUAUAUUAUUUAUUGUGUUAAAAUUAUUAAUAAUGUUUUGUUAGUGGUGAAAUGUCUUUCGUUCUUAAGUGUAUCUGGUUUUUUAUGAAAUUAAUUUAAAUUAUGUAUUAAUUUUUAGUGCGGUUAUAGUUUUGUGAUUUGUUUUAAUUGAUGCUUAUAUUUUAAGGGAUGAGCUUUGAAGUAUAGUUCUAUAAUGUUAUGGAGUUUUUAAGUGGUGUGGAUUUAAUGGUGAUUAUUUAUUUAGAGGAUGUUAAAGUUUUACUUUUUUAUUAUUGUUAUUUAUAUUUUGUUUGGGUAUUUUAUUAAGGGUUUUUAAUUAAUUUUUAAUUAAUGGGGAUAAUGAUGAAAUUAGUAUAUAAUUGUUUAUAUUUAAUAUCUGCUUGUUAUAUUGGUUAGAGGAAUUAGGCAAUUUUGUGUUCGCCUGUUUAACAAAAACAUCUUUUCUUGUAUUGUUUUGGGAAUAUAACCUGCCCACUGAUUUGAUUGAAGGGCCGCGGUAAUUUGACCGUGCAAAGGUAGCAUAAUCAUUAGUUUUUUGAUUGAAGACUGGAAUGAAUGGUUGGACGAGAUACAUUCUAUCUUUUUUUUAUUGUUUGAAUUUAAUUAUUAAGUGAGAAAGCUUAAAUGUUGCUAAGGGACGAGAAGACCCUAUAGAGUUUAAUAUUUAUUUUUAAAUUUUUGGUGUGUUAAAAUUGAUUUUUGAAUUAGGUAUUUUGUUGGGGUGACAAGGGGAAAUAUAAAACUCUUCUUUGAUGUUAUUUAUUGAUUUAUAUAUUUUUAGAUCCAUUGUUUGUGAUAAUAAGAUUAAAUUACCUUAGGGAUAACAGCGUAAUUCUUUUUGAGAGUUCGUAUUAAUAAAGGGGAUUGCGACCUCGAUGUUGGAUUAAGGUGGAGUAUUGGGUGAAGAAGCUUAAUUACUAGGUCUGUUCGACCUUUAAAAUCUUACAUGAUCUGAGUUCAAACCGGCGUGAGCCAGGUUGGUUUCUAUCUUUAGUAUAAGGAGAUACUUUAGUACGAAAGGACCAGGUAUUUGAAAUAAUUUUUGUUGAAUGAUUGAUAUUAAUGA